UGGAUGGGAUGAGAACUCCUGAGCGCCUGACCCACCCGCUACCCGUGGAGGCAAACACUGAUUUAAUGAGCCUGAUCC